AUUGAACGCUGGCGGCAUGCCUUACACAUGCAAGUCGAACGGCAGCACGGGAGCAAUCCUGGUGGCGAGUGGCGAACGGGUGAGUAAUACAUCGGAACGUGCCCAGUCGUGGGGGAUAACGUAGAGAAAUUUACGCUAAUACCGCAUACGAUCUAAGGAUGAAAGCGGGGGAUCGCAAGACCUCGCGCGAUUGGAGCGGC
rnacentral:rRNA from 1 species